GGCCUGUGAUGCUCACAAAUUGUCCGUACCAUCUGAGAUGCUUUUUCCUUGAUGCAUUCAAUUAUUCAAUUGAUUUCUGAGGCCU